rnacentral:tRNA from 1 species
GGGGCUAUAGCUCAGGUGGUUAGAGCGCUUCACUGAUAAUGAAGAGGUCCCAGGUUCAAAUCCUGGUAGCCCCA